rnacentral:tRNA from 2 species
GCGGGAGUCGCCCAGCCUGGCCAAAGGCGUAGGGCUUAGGACCCUAUCUCUUAGGAGUUCGUGGGUUCAAAUCCCACCUCCCGCACCA